rnacentral:rRNA from 1 species
UACGGGAGGCAGCAGUGGGGAAUUUUGGACAAUGGGCGCAAGCCUGAUCCAGCCAUGCCGCGUGUGUGAAGAAGGCCUUAGGGUUGUAAACCCCUUCCAGCGGGGAAGAUAAUGACGGUACCCGCAGAAGAAUCCCGGCUAACUCC